rnacentral:rRNA from 1 species
CUCGUAGGCGGUUUGUCACGUCGGGAGUGAAAACCAGGUGCUUAACACCUGGCCUGCUUCCGAUACGGGCAGACUUGAGGUAUGCAGGGGAGAAUGGAAUUCCUGGUGUAGCGGUGAAAUGCGCAGAUAUCAGGAGGAACACCGGUGGCGAAGGCGGUUCUCUGGGCAUUACCUGACGCUGAGGAGCGAAAGUGUGGGGAGCGAACA